GGCCGACAGAGUGUAUUGUUCUGGUAGGUGACCAUUGAUCUCAUGAGUCUCUCGGACAAUAAGAGUUGCCAGUGCAUGCUUUCUGUGAAUCAAGACGGGUUCAUUGGCUUCCUGUGGAAGGAUCGCCGACUGCGCUUGCUUCCUGACUCGGUGGAGUCCGUGCUUGUCUACGUAGAGAACGAGAUCCUUUGGGUAUUGGAUUCCACAGUGCAAAGCCCUAG
rnacentral:sRNA from 1 species